AAUGAACGCUGGCGGCGUGGUUAAGACAUGCAAGUCGAACGGUUUUUGCGGUGUAGCAAUACAUUGCAAAAGCAGUGGCGAACGGGUGCGUAACACGUGAACAAUCUACUUUCAAAUGGGGAAUAGCUCGCCGAAAGGCGAAUUAAUACCGCAUGUGGUUGCUUCUCUCCUGAGAGGCAUACCAAAGUCAGGGACCGCAAGGCCUGACGUUAGAAAAGGAGUUCGCGGCCUACAGCUAGUUGGCGA
rnacentral:rRNA from 1 species